rnacentral:lncRNA from 1 species
UCAUACACACAUAAAGAUGCCCUAGUCACCUUUUCUCUAGCCUCAUUUAUGGUUGCAAAGACUUGCUAUUGCGGAACUAGAACCAGGGGCAUUUUUGUGCAUAGGGCAGGUUGGGUGUCGUCCAGCCCAAAUUUUUUCAACAAAAAAAACCCUACAUAUGUUAUAACAUAUUUUCUUAUUUUGGACUCAUUCUCAUUAUCAACAAGAAGUAUUAUUCUCAUUCUCAUUGCAUUUGCUUGUGUUUUUUAUUUUUUUUAUUUUUUUUGUUAUACUUUUAUUUAUGUAUAGAAAUGCAUUUGAGGAUAACACUCAUUAUGUCUCCAUGACUAGGUGUAUCUUUUUAUGUUUAUUAAUAUGAUUAAGUGUAUCUUUUUAUGUUUAUUAAUGAAAUUCACUCGUAUCUUCAAAUUUAGUAUUUAAAUUUUGCCUAUCUGACUUUCGAUCCUAAAUCCGCCACUGACCGAGACUGUUCCUAAUAAGAUCCGCCCCGAAUUCCUCUCAACCCAGGAUGAAUUUAGUGGCAUUUUCGGCAUCAUACCGAUGCCAGGCCCACUUACUAGAGACAAGAGACUUUCUGCCGAAAAUUCGACAGAGUCUUCCUUGAAAAAUAGACUUUUACCAAAUUUCUCAACCUGUUAAAAACACAAUUUAUAACUCCAACUGGCAGCAUGCAAUAGAAAGAUUCAAAUAUUGUACAUAGAUGGCCUCCAGCCUUACAAAUCAAACUCUAAUAUGGACGAUAACAGAGCAUAUCUAGAGAAUUUAGCUUACAAAUGAAAAUGAAGUUCAACAGGAGAGAAACGAAUAAAAGAGUCCUAUGAAAGUUCGAGGUUCGGAAGCUCGUAACUCGGCUCUGCUGCUCAGUUCAGUCAACUACUGGUUGGGAGGCGCAAAACAGAAAAGUGUGAGUGGAUGAAAACAAGUUUAGUUCACAAUUGAAACCAACAUAGUAUAACCCCACCAUUUAGAAAACGAUGCUGAAACCAUAUGCAUUCAAAAUCGAAAUAGCCAUAUAUGUAUAAAUAGUUGAAUCAAAACCAUAAUGAAAUCCGAAAUCCCAUAAAGGUACUUUGUUUUUCAACCCAAUCAAACCAUUUCAAUAUACUC